rnacentral:lncRNA from 1 species
GGUGGCCAUUCUGACCUCAUCGUGUUUUCUGUUGACAAAAGAGAGAAGAUUUGCAUUAGAGAUCAUGACCUCCAGGAGCCAGAGGGAAGUACUGAGUGUACAUAACACCCUAUUUCAAUGUCUUUUGGGAGAGAGGAGCAGAAAAGCAGGUGAACCAAAGUGUCAUCUAUCCAGUAUCUGGUGGUGGAAAGUACCUCAAUCCACUUGGGUUUGAAGACAUCUGAAGAUGUUCGGGAUGUUUGAGUGCUGGUGAAGAUCAGACUACAGACUCUUCUAAGUGGAUGGUCUCCAUUCCUCCUGUCAAGGUGAAAAAGGAAAUUAACUUGGGUCUCCCAUACUCCAGCUGCUUGCACCAACAAAAACCCGGUACAAAGCAAGACACUUCCCCAGAUGCAACAGCAACAGAAAGGGCCAUAUACCUCCGUGACAGGGAAGCUCAGAGGCUACUGUGCAGAAGCUGUAUCUUCCACAGCUGUAUGUGAAUGCUUUAUUCACCGGAACUGGGAAUACUUAAGCGUAUGAGACUUUUUCUCUGGCUUUUGAGUUCACGUAGAGCUAUUUUGACGAGUGAAAUGAUCCCACAAUCAAGAAGGCUUCCUGAUGACCUGCAUAAUGGAGCACUACCCAAAAAGCCAAUGUGAAUGACUAGGAAGAGCAUGAUGUAUAACAGAGAGAAUAUUAGAAGAGAAGAGAUAAGACCCUUGUAUUUGAAGGCCCAGACACUUUAAGGCAGAGUUAUGCAGCAACACCUGCUGCCUAUUAGGGCUGAUAGGCAGUACCAUUCAGCUCAGGCCCUGUUUGCUUUAGCACCCAAGCUGCCAGCUGCCUUCUCAAACCACUCCUGCCUGCAGUCCAGCCAGUGGAGAAGAGUAAAAGCUUGCUAUAAUCUAAUUAGACUGAAGAAAGGUAUUUUCUACAAUCUGUUAAUUUAAAGCCAACUUUCGGAAGCCUUUUUGGGUCUGCAAAAUCUGGUCUAGAAAUGCCACGGUAAGUGUCUGAAAACUUUACUACAUAUUAAAUCCUGAGUCCUGGAAAAGUGGUUAGGAAAUUCCCUUAUUUCAAAAAUGUUGUUGCAAAUUGGAAUUGAGAGAGAGACUUCACACAAAAACAAUAUGCUGAGGUAAAAAUACAC